UUCAUCAUGGAGUUGAACGCAGGCAAGCCUCCUGCUUUGCAUUCCCAGCCUCGGUGCUGAACCAAGGCCAAGGCAAUAAGAUCUCUGUGUUGUGUCCUGGAGGACAGCAGUCCUUGCGCAUCAUGGGGCAGGACCACCUCAGUACCCUGGCAUCUCC
rnacentral:lncRNA from 1 species